GACGAACGCUGGCGGCGUGCCUAAUACAUGCAAGUCGAGCGAACAGUCUCUGGUCUUUGUCCUAGAAAAAUUUAGCGGCGAACGGGAGUGAAACAUGUAAAGCCCCCGCCUCAUAGUCUGGGACAACCAUUGGACACGAUAUCUAACCCCGUAAUAUAGUAUUUCUCGUAUGUGAGUAAUUUAAAAGUUGGUUAUGCUAACAUUUAGAUAUGUCCUUGCGGUGCAUUAGCUAGUUGGUGGGGUAAGGGCACACCAAGGCGACGAUGCAUAGCCGACCUGAGAGGGUGAUCGGCCACACUGGAACUGAGACACGGCCCAGACUCCUACGGGAGGCAGCAGUAGGGAAUCUUCCGCAAUGGGCGAAAGCCUGACGGAGCAACGCCGCGUGAGUGAAGAAGGAUUUCGGUUCGUAAAGCUCUGUUGUUAGGGAAGAAUAAAUGUGUAGUAACUAUACAUGUAAGAGACGGUACCUAACCAGAAAGCCACGGCUAACUACGUG
rnacentral:rRNA from 1 species